rnacentral:rRNA from 1 species
UGGGGAAUAUUGGACAAUGGGCGCAAGCCUGAUCCAGCCAUGCCGCGUGUGUGAAAAAGGCCUUCGGGUUGUAAAGCACUUUUGUCCGGAAAGAAAGCGAAUCGGCGAAUACCCGGUUUGGAUGACGGUACCGGGAGAAGAAGCUGCGGCUAACUACGUGCCAGCAGCCGCGGUAAUACGUAGGCAGCAAGCGUUGUUCGGAGUUACUGGGCGUAAAGAGUGCGUAGGCGGUUUUCUAAGUUCGGUGUGAAAUCUCCCGGCUUAACUGGGAGGGUGCGCCGAAGACUGGGAAGCUGGAGUGUGGGAAAGGCAGGCGGAAUUCCUGGUGUAGCGGUGAAAUGCGUAGAUAUCAGGAGGAACACCGGCGGUGUAGACGGCUUGCUAGACCAUAACUGACGCUGAGGCACGAAAGCGUGGGUAGCAAACA